rnacentral:tRNA from 1 species
GCGGGAAUAGCUCAGUUGGUAGAGCACGACCUUGCCAAGGUCGGGGUCUCCAAAUUCUUCUCUCA